GAACCAAUUGGAGACCCCUAAUGCUGGACUUUCGUAAACCAGAAAAUAGAACAUUGCAGUAGUCCAAUCUAGAAGAGAUAAAUGCAUGAAUCAGGGUCUCAGCAUCAGCCAUAUACAGGAUGGGACGAAUCGUCACUAUAUUUCACAAGUGGAAGAAAGCAGAAUUCAUAAAACUAAAGACUAAAGAGGCAGAAAA